rnacentral:tRNA from 1 species
CGCGGGGUGGAGCAGCUCGGUAGCUCGCUGGGCUCAUAACCCAGAGGUCGUAGGUUCAAAUCCUGCCCCCGCAACCAAAA